rnacentral:rRNA from 1 species
UACGUAGGGUGCAAGCGUUGUCCGGAAUUAUUGGGCGUAAAGAGCUCGUAGGCGGUUUGUCGCGUCUGCUGUGAAAACUCAGGGCUUAACCCUGAGCUUGCAGUGGGUACGGGCAGACUAGAGUGCGGUAGGGGAGACUGGAAUUCCUGGUGUAGCGGUGAAAUGCGCAGAUAUCAGGAGGAACACCGGUGGCGAAGGCGGGUCUCUGGGCCGGUAACUGGACGCUGGAGGAGCGAAAGCAUGGGGAGCGAACAGG